rnacentral:rRNA from 1 species
AAUAUUGCGCAAUGGAGGGAACUCUGACGCAGCGACGCCGCGUGAGCGAUGAAGGUUUUCGGAUCGUAAAGCUCUGUCAUUGGGGAAUAAGGUCUUCGGUCUUGACGGUACCUAAGGAGGAAGCCCCGGCUAACUACGUGCCAUCAGCCGCGGUAAUACGGAGGGGGCAAGCGUUGUCCGGAAUUAUUGGGCGUAUAGGGUGCGUAGGCGGCCUUUUAAGUCAGGUGUGAAAGCCCACGGCUUAACCGUGGGUUUGCAUUUGAAACUGGAAGGCUUGAGUAUCGGAGAGGGUAGUGGAAUUCCCAGUGUAGCGGUGGAAUGAGUAGAUAUUGGGAGGAACACCAGUGGCGAAGGCGACUACCUGGACGAAAACUGACGCUGAGGCACGAAAGAUAGGGGAGCAAACA